rnacentral:rRNA from 1 species
UGGGGAAUAUUGCACAAUGGGCGAAAGCCUGAUGCAGCAACGCCGCGUGAGGGAAGACGGUUUUCGGAUUGUAAACCUCUGUUUUCGGUGACGAACAAAUGACGGUAACCGAGUAGGAAGCUCCGGCUAACUGCGUGCCAGCAGCCGCGGUAAUACGUAGGGAGCGAGCGUUAUCCGGAUUUACUGGGUGUAAAGGGCGAGUAGGCGGAUCGGUAAGUCAGAUGUGAAAUGUCGGGGCUUAACCCCGGAACUGCAUUUGAAACUGCUGACCUUGAGUGAUGGAGAGGCAGGCGGAAUUCCCAGUGUAGCGGUGAAAUGCGUAGAUAUUGGGAGGAACACCAGUGGCGAAGGCGGCCUGCUGGACAUUAACUGACGCUGAGGAGCGAAAGCGUGGGGAGCAAACAGGAUUAGAUACCCUGGUAGU